rnacentral:tRNA from 1 species
GCCGUGGUAGCUCAAUUGGUAUAGAGCAUCGCACGCCUAAUGCGAAGACGUGGGAUCGUACCCUACCUGCGGCA